AAUGUGAAGCUUCCUGUAGCUCAGCCAAUCACCUAGUGGCAGGACAGGAACUUGCAGUUUGAGGGGAAAGAGCUGAAGUUUAGUCAGUGUCUCUGCUGUAAUGAACUGUUCCUGGGUUAUAUGUGUCAGAGCAGCACCCAGGCUAAAGGGAUUCGGGCAUGUGGGAGUAACUGAAGGAGCAGGUGCAUUUAUUCCAAGAGUAUGACAUUCAUGCUUUGACUGGACAUACAGGUGGCGCACGCAGUCAAAAUUAACAGCAGAGAAAAACUUCUUCUAGAAUCCUUGCAGAACAGCAUUGCUGCAAAGGCUCCAGACAUCGCCGAAAGCAGCGUUAUCAUCACUCUCUGAGGCCUGAAUACCAUCAGGGGAAGCACAGAAGAGAGAACUAGCUGCUGAGUUUACUGGCACCCCAGGAAGAAAUACAUUUUUGAAAUGUUGGUUCUGACUGUUGAAGCAAUGUAGCAGAAAAGAGUGCAAGGCUGACGUGCUACUGCAUUGUGCAUCUACAAAUACACAGACACGGCACAUGCUACUGGGUCUAGACACAAUAUCCCAGACUGAAUCCAAAUGACAGUAUGAGAGGACCUGUAGGAGGCAGCAGAGUAUCACAUUCUCAGGCAGACAAGGGGAGACACAGGCAAGUCUAUGAGGCUCAGAGAAACACACAAACCUAUAAGGGGAGACACAGCAAUAAAGAUAAACACAGACUGUCGGGAGAGUGGGGGGGGUGCAAGCACAGGUUGAAGGGGGGCAAGUACAAACUGCUGGGGAACAGAUACUGGCAGCUGAUUAAGAUUACGGGAACAGAUUGGAACAAAGGUAGGGGGGUCACAGACAGAUAUUAGUGCAAAGAUUAUUAUGACAGACACAGGGAUGGAAGUACAGAGCCAGGAAUGAUUCUCACACUCAUUAGAUGAUACUCAAUUUAAGGGUCACCCCUCAGUUGUCUGAAUUGGAAUUGGGAGCAGUUCUGAUUGGGAACGAGACAGUCUGGGAUAUUGGAUCCAACGCAGACAGGAGCCCAUUGCAUCAACGCACCCUCUUCUGUCACAUGGAGGAUCCGAACUCCGGCCAUGCGGAUCUACUCCUGAUUGGGAAGCACCGCUGCCUUGUAGUAGCAGCACCUCUGCCUUGUAGUAGCAGCACCUCUGCCUUGUAGUAGCAGCACCUCUGCCUUGUAGUAGCAGCACCUCUGCCUUGUAGUAGCAGCACCUCUGCCUUGUAGUAGCAGCACCUCUGCCUUGUAGGAGCAGCACCUCUGCCUUGUAGGAGCAGCACAUCUGCCUUGUAGGAGCAGCACCUGGUUGCACCUGCAGUCAGAUCAACCCCCAGACAUACCCAUGGUGCGCGGGAGCCUUUAUUUCAUCCACAUGACUAAUUCCAUGGGACAAGCGUGGCCUGGAUAAAAGUAAUCUACUGACAACAGCAUGACUAAUAGCUUCAAUGUAGAUGUCUGUGAUUCGUUCCCCUCUUCUGCCCCACCCAAAACCGCAAACAAAUCGGAUGUCUUCGCCAUAGGCGAGUUUUGUAAAGGUUCGUUGCGUUUUUCUUUUGAGGAACAAGGUAUCCUCAAGUCAUUGAGACCCUGCCUUGUGUUGGUAGAGUAGGAUGUAAUCCCUCUAGCCGGAUGAAAUCAGAUCUGUCUUUAGGUGGUGCAAAUAAGAGCAAACGUCCUGAAGGGAGUAGCAGAUAUAAGUAAGAAGAAUGUGGAUUGUGGAUACAAGAGAGCAAGAAGGCAACAGUAACCCAUUAUUCUAUAUCUGUGUGCCCCAACUGAAGCUCUUUGAAAUACAACAGUAAAAUAGUUCUUCAAGUCCACUAGGGUCUCCGUAGUAGUAGGAUUGUAGGAAGCUAAUGCAGGUCUCUACACAAAAAGACUUACUACCAUAUCAUAGUAGUGCUGAUCUCAACAUUACUUUCCAUCAGUGUGGCUUGGUUGGCUUUUUACUGCUACUGUAAAGUCGGCUACGAUGAGUGUAUGAAGCACAGGGUAGUGCCACUGCAUUGCCAGAUUCUCUAUGGGAGCACCUAGGGCUCCA